rnacentral:tRNA from 1 species
UCCCUGGAGGUCCAGUGGCUAAGACUCCAAGCUUGCAAUGCAGGGGGUCCAGGUUCAAUCCCUGGUCAGGGAA